AUCCCGCAGCUGCUGAGGCUGGAGACGC
rnacentral:sRNA from 1 species